GUGAGUGAUUUAAAUAUAAAUUAUGCAGAUGACAGCUCAGUUACAGACUCAUAAUGUCACUUAACAGCACACACUUCAGCCCAUAAACAAACAAAACAGACAAACGCUGUGAUAAAGUGCAGAACUGGAAGAUGUCACGCGACUCACCUGUAAGUCAUCUUCCAGUGUAUUUUUUGUGUAAAAUCACUAGCACACGUCUAGCAGUACUUGAUGUAUUUAAGUCAUUGUUCGAGUGUUUGUUGAUGUGUAAUUCAGAUCCUGAGCUCCUCUGUCAGAAUAAGGGAUGUUUGAACUGUUACACUCAGCCAACAGAAGCAUGUGGACAGACAUUGACUGUAAUGAAGGACAUCUGCUGAUGCACAGGCAGAAGCAUAACGCCUGCUGGACAUUGUGCUGGAGCUCGGGGAGGACACCAUGAUCCCCCACACCUUCUCACUCACACCAGACCAUUCACUCAUAUCACAGAGAUCUGGCUGGACUUGAACCAGCAACCUCUGAAACCAUGAGGCAGUGCUCUUACCACUGAGCCACAGAUCUCUUGUCUGAACAUGUGCAGGAACUUAUAUUUCACUAUUCUCCCUGUCAUUUUACAAUGAACCA
ensembl:lncRNA